CUCUGAGUGGUUCCACUGACACCAUGCUGUAAUGACCUUCGUUGCAUGUGCUCGGAAUAAGUUGAAACUACACAGUACCUAUCUUAUAGAAGAGAUUCUCUGUUCAACAACAAGUCUAAUAAGAUGUUUGUAACAAAACAAUUCACUUCUGCAAAACUCUGAUUUCGAAAUAGUUAAAUUCAAAAAUCAAGAGAUUCUGUUUGUUUGGAUUCCUAUAGAAAGCUGAAACACCGAAAAAGAAUAGAGAUUACAUACCUGGUAACCUAUGAAGAAUAAGGAUUCCACACCUGUUAAUACAACAUUACUACUGUCAUUUGUAAAUUGAACAUUUUUCAUAUUAUAUUGUAGGUUUGGGUUUCUAUAGAAAGCUGAAACACCGAAAAAGAAUAGAGAUUACACACCUGGUAACCUAUGAAGAAUAAAGAUUCCACACCCGUUAAUACAACAUUACUGCUGCCAUUUGUAAAUGGAACAUUUUCCUGUUUUUUUCUUUAACGUUACGUGUCUGCAGAGAAAGCGGAUGCAAGGCCAAAGACAGGCUUCCAACAACAUCGAUGGUCCAUGAGAAAGUAAAGAAAA